rnacentral:ncRNA from 1 species
UCAAAUGUGAUGAAGAGAAGAGUAAAUAAAUGAAUUCUUUCACAGAGAGCUCCGUUAGCUGAAAAGGAGUAAGAGUUCCUUAUUGAAAAAAGCCUCAGAGCAGCACAUCGGAGCCCAAGAUAAAGGGGGAUGGUGUGUCAGGAGCUCCUGUUACAGAGCUAGAGUAUAAGCAUUACAUGGUAAUGCCGUACUUGAAGAGGCUAAUAUGGCGACAUAUUAGCGAAUCUGGGGUGGUACCACGAGUAUACAAAUCUCGUCCCUAAG